UUGACUUCAGUUCAGUAUUCAACACCAUUAUCCCCUCCAAACUGACCAAACCCAGUGAAUUGGGCAUCAACACCUCCCUCUGUAACUUGAUUCUGGACUUCCUAACCAACAGACCUCAGUCUGUUAGGUUAGAUAACCACACCUCCUCAACCAUCACCCUGAACA